rnacentral:rRNA from 1 species
UACAGAGGUCUCAAGCGUUGUUCGGAUUCAUUGGGCGUAAAGGGUGCGUAGGCGGCGAAGCAAGUCUGAUGUGAAAUCCCCGGGGCUCAACCCCGGAACUGCAUUGGAUACUGCUUUGCUAGAGUACUGGAGAGGAGACUGGAAUUUACGGUGUAGCAGUGAAAUGCGUAGAUAUCGUAAGGAAGACCAGUGGCGAAGGCGAGUCUCUGGACAGUUACUGAGCUCAGGCGCGACAGCGUGGGGAUCAAACAGG